AAUUGUAGUAGUUUGUGCCUGAGUUGUUGUGGUUGGAGCAGUAGUUGUGGUGGUUGGAGCUGGAGUUGUGGUGGUUGGAGCCGGAGUUGGUGUGGCUGCAAUUGUGGUGGUUGUAGCGGGAGUUAUGGUGGCUGCAGUUGUGGUGGUUGGAGCCAGAGUUGUGGUAGUUGGAUAUGGAGUUGUAGUGGUUGGAGCUGGAGUUGUGGUGGCUGCAGUUGUGUUGGUUGGAGCCAGAGUUGUGGUAGUUGGAUAUGGAGUUGUAGUGGUUGGAGCUGGACUUGUUUUGGCUGCAGUUGUGGUGGUUGGAGCCGGAGUUGUUGUGGCUACAGUUGUGUUGGUUGGAGCCAGAGUUGUGGUAGUUGGAGCCGGAGUUGUGGUGGCUGCAGUUGUGGUAGUUGGAGCCAGAGUUAUAGUGGCUGCAGUUGUGGUGGUUUGAGCCAGAGUUGUGGUAGUUGGAUAUGGAGUUGUAUUGGUUGGAGCUGGACUUGUUUUGGCUGCAGUUGUGGUGGUUGUAGCCGGAGUUGUUGUGGCUACAGUUGUGUUGGUUGGAGCCAGAGUUGUGGUAGUUGGAGCCGGAGUUGUGGUGUCUGCAGUUGUGGUAGUUGGAGCUGGAGUUGUUGUGGUUCCAACUUGAUUCGUGGUGGUUGGAGCUGGACUUGUGGUGGCUGCAGUUUUGGUGGUUGGAGCUGGAGUUGUAGUAGUUGGAACUGGAGUUGUAGUCAUUGGACCUGGGGUUGGGGUUGUUGCACCCGGAGUUGUGGUUUCUGUAGUUGUGGUAGUUGGAGCUGGAGUUGUAGAAGUUGGAGCCACAGUUGCAGUGGUUGGAGCUCCAGUUGUGGUGGUUGGAGAAGGAGUUGUGGUGGUUGGAUCUGGAGAUGUAGUGGUAGGAGCCGGACUUGUGGUUGCUGCAGUUGUGCUGGUUGGAGCUGGAGUUGUAGUAGUUGGAGCCAGAGUUGUACUCGUUGGACCCGGAGUUGGGGUUGUUGGACCCGGAGUUGUGGUGGUUGCAGUUGUGGUGGUUGGAGCUAG
rnacentral:lncRNA from 15 species